CCCUUAGAGUUUGAUCCUGGCUCAGAUUGAACGCUGGCGGCAGGCCUAACACAUGCAAGUCGAGCGGUAACAGAUUGAUAGCUUGCUAUCAAUGCUGACGAGCGGCGGACGGGUGAGUAAUGCCUGGGAAUAUGCCCUGAUGUGGGGGAUAACUAUUGGAAACGAUAGCUAAUACCGCAUAAUCUCUUCGGAGCAAAGAGGGGGACCUUCGGGCCUCUCGCGUCAGGAUUAGCCCAGGUGGGAUUAGCUUGUUGGUGGGGUAAUGGCUCACCAAGGCAACGAUCCCUAGCUGGUCUGAGAGGAUGAUCAGCCACACUGGAACUGAGACACGGGGGAGACUCCUACGGGAGGCAGCAGUGGGGAAUAUUGCACAAUGGGGGAAACCCUGAUGCAGCCAUGCCGCGUGUAUGAAGAAGGCCUUCGGGUUGUAAAGUACUUUCAGUUGUGAGGAAGGCAGUAAAGUUAAUAGCUUUGCUGUUUGACGUUAGCAACAGAAGAAGCACCGGCUAACUCCGUGCCAGCAGCCGCGGUAAUACGGAGGGUGCGAGCGUUAAUCAGAAUUACUGGGCGUAAAGCGCAUGCAGGUGGUUUGUUAAGCAAGAUGUGAAAGCCCGGGGGCUCAACCUCGGAACA
rnacentral:rRNA from 1 species